GCUUACGGCCACACCACCCUGAGAACGCCUGAUCUUGUCUGAUCUCAGAAGUUAAGCAGAGUUGGGCUCAGGCAGUACUGAGAUGGGCGACCACCUGGGAAUACUAAGUGCUGUAAGCA